UACGGAGGGUGCGAGCGUUGUCCGGAAUCAUUGGGCGUAAAGAGCGUGUAGGCGGCCUGAAAGGUCAGCUGUGAAAACUCGAGGCUCAACCUCGAGACGUCGGUUGAAACCAUCUGGCUAGAGUCCGGAAGAGGAGUGUGGAAUUCCCGGUGUAGCGGUGAAAUGCGCAGAUAUCGGGAAGAACACCCGUGGCGAAGGCGGCUCUCUGGGACGGUACUGACGCUGAGACGCGAAAGCGUGGGGAGCGAACAGG
rnacentral:rRNA from 1 species